CCCAGACUCCUACGGGAGGCAGCAGUGGGGAAUAUUGCACAAUGGGGGGAACCCUGAUGCAGCGACGCCGCGUGGGUGAAGAAGUCAUUUGUGACGUAAAGCCCUAUCAGCAGGGAAGAAAAUGACGGUACCUGACUAAGAAGCCCCGGCUAACUACGUGCCAGCAGCCGCGGUAAUACGUAGGGGGCAAGCGUUAUCCGGAUUUACUGGGUGUAAAGGGAGCGUAGACGGCGGCGCAAGUCCGGAGUGAAAGCCCACGGCCCAACCGUGGGACUGCUCUUGGAACUGCGCGGCUGGAGUGCAGGAGGGGCAGGCGGAAUUCCUGGUGUAGCGGUGAAAUGCGUAGAUAUCAGGAGGAACACCGGUGGCGAAGGCGGCCUGCUGGACUGCGACUGACGUUGAGGCCCGAAAGCGUGGGGAGCAAACAGGAUUAGAUACCCCUGUAC
rnacentral:rRNA from 1 species